rnacentral:lncRNA from 1 species
ACUUCCUCCGAUCCCUGCCUCCUAGAUACUAAUGCUUCAGACUUCACUUCCUCUCCCAAGUAUUAGAGCAGGUUGUGUCUCCAAAGGGAUCUAAGGAAGCUCUACAUUGUGUCCUUAGGCACCUAGGCUAUGAACCCAGGGAGUCUUAUCCCAAUUUAGACAUACAGCUCUUGACAUGGGCAGUUAUGUGGGACCCAUUCCCCACCACCCUUUCCAGGGCCUUAGAACUGACAACCCAGUACUUUAACAACUGGAACUGGAUCUACAACAACAUAAUAGAUCAGGAUGAAAAUGAAUUGAGUAAAUUAAAGGGAGGCGCAUAUUCCUAUAGUGGCAAAUGGGGGCAAUGAGCCAAUGUCCUUCCACUGUGUUUCCAAAAUCCAUCUACAAAGACAGAGAGGAGAGACAGAGAGGAGAGAAAGAGAGAGGAAAGAGAAGAGAGAGACAGAGAGGAGAGAGACAAAGAAACAGACAGGGAGUCAAAGAGAGAAAGUCAAAGAGAGAGACAGAAAGUCAAGGAGAGAAAGAAAGAGAAAAAUAGAAGUAGUAAAGAAAAAAAACAGUGUACCCUAUUCCGUUAAAAGCCAGGGUAAAUUUAAAACCUAUAGUUAAUAAUUGAAGGUCUUCUCGGUGACCCUAUAACACUCCAAUACCACCUUGUUGUCAGUGUAAAGAAGGGCAUAGCUCGAAAGCACUGAGGCCACUGACAACCCAUAGCCUUCCUAUCAAAUAUCCUUAACCCAGUAACCCAUGGAUGGGCUAAAUGCAUUCAGUCAGUAGCGGCAACUGCUUUGUUAAAAGUAGAAAAAUAACCUUUAGAGGAAAUCUCAUUGUGAGCACACCUCACCAGUUCAGAGCUAUCCUAAGUCAAAAAAAGCAAAAAGGUAGCUUACUAACUCAAAAAUCUUAAAGUAUGGGGCUACUCUGUUAGAAAAAGGUGAUUUAACACUAACCACUGGAAAUUCCCUUAACCCAGUCUUUGUGGUCAAGAAAGGCAGGAAAAGGGGUGCAGGACUGCUACAUUGGUGAGCAUAACUAAUUUGAUAAGCAGAGGUCCAUGGGUGGUUACACAGCCUGGAAAGGAAUAAGCAUUAGGACCAUAAAGGAUGCCCUAGGACUAACGCUCAUCGGAAAAUGGCUAGGGGUACUGGCAUCCCUAUGUUCUUUUUUCAGAUGGGAAACAUUCCCCCAAGGCAAAAAUGUCCCUAAGAUGUAUUCUGGAGAAUUCGGCCCAGUCAGAGUGCAUUUGUCUUUUUCCCUCUCAGAUUUGAAGCAAAUUAAAAUAGACCUAGGUAAAUUCUCUGAUAACCCUGAUGGCUAUAUAGAUGUUUUACAAAGGUUAGGACAAUCCUUUGAUCUGACAUGGAGAGAUACAAUGCUACUGCUAGAUCAGACACUAACCCCAA